GGCUCACACCGCGCCUCCCUCGUGUUAACUCGUGUUAACUCGUGUUUAGAGUUCAACCUGACAAUAUAAACUAUUUGAAGAGCCGCAGCAGUGUCAGCUCGUGUCCGCCGUGAAGUCCAGUGAAGAGCAUUUCUAAUUGAGGUUGCACAGUUCGUCGUGUUGUUGGGAGUCUGUGUUGCCAGUGUAGACCCAGGGAGAGAAGCUGCGUGUGGAGAGACGACCAGGGGGGAAAUUAGGCAGAGCUCAGCAGCAGCGAAGUGCAGAGCGAGGGAAGGGUUGGAGACACACCAGUGCCAUGUCUUCUGGAUGUUUUCUGGUUUACGCAGAUGGAGUCAGUAAACCCCUAAGGCGAUUUCCAGAUCAAGAAAUGUUCUACAAGGAUCCAUUUAUCGACCCUACACACUGGAAAUGUGAAGGAACCCUCGUUGGUAUCUGAAAGGAGACACCAGUGCUGAUGGAUCCAGACUUCUAUUGUAAUAGAACAAAUUAAGUCAAUGACAUCAUCCGAGCUGCUUUUGAUUAAUGCACGUCUAAUGUUGCCUAUUUUUCCACAUGGCUCUUUGCUGUUUAACCUCCCAGUCUUUGUCUUGUCAUCCCUGUCACCUCCCAUUUCUCACAGUUAAAACAGAAAUGCCAUUCUAUAUAUUUCUUAAUCCUUCAGCAUCACUGCUUUAAAUCAUGUCAUAUGUACUGAAGCAGCAGGAUAAGUGACCAUUUGCUACGUUCCACUCCUCAGUGUUGCUGUUGCUGACUCAGACAAGCAAUACCUCCUGGCAUCGUGCCGACUUGCAAAACAAUGGGAGUCUGUCACUGAUAGUCUCUCAGAGGCCAUAUAGAUAACUUCUGGAAACAAACCACUUCAUCAAAAAUCCACUCCAGAAUGCUUCAAGAUUACAAAUGUAGUAGAAGAUAAGCUGAGGCACUAAUGCACAGGGGUGUUACCUUCAGACCACAAGGAGACUGUCAGCUGACCUUACCAUCUGUUGAUAACUCAAGAAAUCGGUUUAAUAGAGGUUUAUUAAAUUUCAAGCUCGUGGAAAAUGGAGCUGGUAGACUUUGUAUCACAUUGAUCACCAUCAGCUGACCAGUGAUACUUUACUGUCUAUGUUUAGCUACAAAACAGCCACAGUACUGUAUGUCCUUUAUGUUUCUGGAAAAACCAUUGCAAAUUAUUGCCAUAGAAUACAAUGUAUCAAUAAAAAAUGAA